AUUGAACGCUGGCGGCAGGCCUAACACAUGCCAGUCGAGCGGAUGAAGGGAGCUUGCUCCUGGAUUCAGCGGCGGACGGGUGAGUAAUGCCUAGGAAUCUGCCUGGUAGUGGGGGAUAACGUCCGGAAACGGGCGCUAAUACCGCAUACGUCCUGAGGGAGAAAGUGGGGGAUCUUCGGACCUCACGCUAUCAGAUGAGCCUAGGUCGGAUUAGCUAGUUGGUGGGGUAAAGGCCUACCAAGGCGACGAUCCGUAACUGGUCUGAGAGGAUGAUCAGUCACACUGGAACUGAGACACGGUCCAGACUCCUACGGGAGGCAGCAGUGGGGAAUAUUGGACAAUGGGCGAAAGCCUGAUCCAGCCAUGCCGCGUGUGUGAAGAAGGUCUUCGGAUUGUAAGGCACUUUAAGUUGGGAGGAAGGGCAGUAAGUUAAUACCUUGCUGUUUUGACGUUACCAACAGAAUAAGCACCGGCUAACUUCGUG
rnacentral:rRNA from 1 species